UUUUGAGUACCAAUUCACCGACUAGAUACUCCCGAGGGCGCACUUUCUAAUCAAACGCUCUCUUCGUCCGUCUCUGAUAUAGCUGGCCAUGGCAUAUAGCUGCUAGUCUCUUUUCCUCACCUAGGCUUAGCUGAUUGUAUCGAGAACGGACCCAUUCUGCUUCGUCCGGCUUCAUUGUUGGUGCAGGGAAAAGUUAUUCUGGCACAAA
rnacentral:lncRNA from 1 species